rnacentral:rRNA from 1 species
GACGAACGCUGGCGGCGUGCUUAACACAUGCAAGUCGAACGAUGAAGCCGGAGCUUGCUCUGGUGGAUUAGUGGCGAACGGGUGAGUAACACGUGAGUAACCUGCCCUUGACUCUGGGAUAAGCGUUGGAAACGACGUCUAAUACCGGAUACGAGCUAGGACCGCAUGGUCACUAGCUGGAAAGAAUUUCGGUCAAGGAUGGACUCGCGGCCUAUCAGUUAGUUGGUGAGGUAACGGCUCACCAAGACGACGACGGGUAGCCGGCCUGAGAGGGUGACCGGCCACACUGGGACUGAGACACGGCCCAGACUCCUACGGGAGGCAGCAGUGGGGAAUAUUGCACAAUGGGCGCAAGCCUGAUGCAGCAACGCCGCGUGAGGGACGACGGCCUUCGGGUUGUAAACCUCUUUUAGCAGGGAAGAAGCGCAAGUGACGGUACCUGCAGAAAAAGCACCGGCUAACUACGUGCCAGCAGCCGCCGUAA